GAUGAACGCUGGCGGCGUACUUAACACAUGCAAGUCGAACGAAGCACUUAUCUUUGAUUCUUCGGAUGAAGAGGUUUGUGACUGAGUGGCGGAUGGGUGAGUAACGCGUGGGUAACCUGCCUCAUACAGGGGGAUAACAGUUAGAAAUGACUGCUAAUACCGCAUAAGACCACAGAGCCGCAUGGCUCAGUGGGAAAAAAUCCGGUGGUAUGAGAUGGACCCGCGGCUAAUUAGGUAGUUGGUGGGGUAACGGCCCACCAAGCCGACGAUCAGUAGCCGACCUGAGAGGGUGACCGGCCACAUUGGGACUGCGACACGGCCCAAACUCCUACGGGAGGCAGCAGUGGGGAAUAUUGCACAAUGGGGGAAACCCUGAUGCAGCGACGCCGCGUGAGCGAAGAAGUAUUUCGGUAUGUAAAGCUCUAUCAGCAGGGAAGAAAAUGACGGUACCUGACUAAGAAGCACCGGCUAAAUACGUGCCAGCCGCCGCCGUAA
rnacentral:rRNA from 1 species